UACGGAGGGUGCAAGCGUUAAUCGGAAUUACUGGGCGUAAAGCGUGCGUAGGCGGUUCGUUAAGUCUGUUGUGAAAGCCCCGGGCUCAACCUGGGAAUGGCAAUGGAUACUGGCGAGCUAGAGUGUGUCAGAGGAUGGUGGAAUUCCCGGUGUAGCGGUGAAAUGCGUAGAGAUCGGGAGGAACAUCAGUGGCGAAGGCGGCCAUCUGGGACAACACUGACGCUGAGGCGCGAAAGCCAGGGGAGCAAACGGG
rnacentral:rRNA from 1 species